rnacentral:rRNA from 1 species
UACGUAGGGUGCAAGCGUUAAUCGGAAUUACUGGGCGUAAAGCGUGCGCAGGCGGUUAUGCAAGACAGAUGUGAAAUCCCCAGGCUUAACCUGGGAACUGCAUUUGUGACUGCAUAGCUAGAGUACGGUAGAGGGGGAUGGAAUUCCGCGUGUAGCAGUGAAAUGCGUAGAUAUGCGGAGGAACACCGAUGGCGAAGGCAGUCCCCUGGACCUGUACUGACGCUCAUGCACGAAAGCGUGGGGAGCAAACAGG